rnacentral:rRNA from 1 species
AACGAACGCUGGCGGCAUGCCUAACACAUGCAAGUCGAACGAGACCUUCGGGUCUAGUGGCGCACGGGUGCGUAACGCGAGGGAACCUGCACUUAGGUUCGGAAUAACUCUCCGAAAGGGGUGCUAAUACCGGAUAAUGUCUUCGGACCAAAGAUUUAUCGCCUCUGGAUGGGCCCGCGUUGGAUUAGCUAGUUGGUAGGGUAAAAGCCUACCAAGGCGACGAUCCAUAGCUGGUCUGAGAGGAUGAUCAGCCCCACUGGGACUGAGACACGGCCCAGACUCCUACGGGAGGCAGCAGUGGGGAAUAUGGGACAAUGGGCGAGAGCCUGAUCCGGCAAUGCCGCGUGAGUGAUGAAGGCCUUAGGGUUGUAAAGCUCUUUUACCCGGGAUGAUAAUGACAGUACCGGUAGAAUAAGCUCCGGCUAACUCCGUG